rnacentral:rRNA from 1 species
AUUCGAUUAGAGUUUGAUCAUGGCUCAGAAUGAACGCUGGCGGCGUGCCUAACACAUGCAAGUCGAACGAGAAAGCCUGGCUUGCCAGGCAAGUAAAGUGGCGCACGGGCGAGUAACGCGUGGGUAAUCUACCUUUGUCUGGGGGAUAACCUACCGAAAGGUGGGCUAAUACCGCAUAACGUGGUCGGAUUGCGAUUUGAUCACCAAAGAAGGCCUCUCCCUGGAAGCUUUCGGGUGAAGAUGAGCCCGCGUCCCAUUAGCUAGUUGGUAGGGUAAAGGCUUACCAAGGCGACGAUGGGUAGCUGGUCUGAGAGGAUGGCCAGCCACACUGGAACUGGAACACGGUCCAGACUCCUACGGGAGGCAGCAGUGAGGAAUCUUGCGCAAUGGGGGCAACCCUGACGCAGCAACGCCGCGUGAGUGAAGAAGGCCUUCGGGUCGUAAAGCUCUGUCAAGUGGGAAGAAUAGCCUUGAGACGAAUAAUCUCGAGGUAUGACGGUACCACUGGAGGAAGCACCGGCUAACUCCGUGCCAGCAGCCGCGGUAAUACGGAGGGUGCAAGCGUUAUUCGGAAUUAUUGGGCGUAAAGGGCGUGUAGGCGGCCAGACAAGUCAGAUGUGAAAGCC